GCGCGCGCAGGCGGCUUCUUAAGUCAGGUGUGAAAGCCCACGGCUCAACCGUGGAGGGUCAUUGGAAACUGGGAAGCUUGAGUGCAGAAGAGGAGAGUGGAAUUCCAUGUGUAGCGGUGAAAUGCGUAGAGAUAUGGAGGAACACCAGUGGCGAAGGCGACUCUCUGGUCUGCAACUGACGCUGAGGCGCGAAAGCGUGGGGAGCGAACAGGAUUAGAUACCCUGGUAGUCCACGCUGUAAACGAUGAGUGCUAGGUGUCGGGGGGUCCAACCCUCGGUGCUGUCGCUAACGCAAUAAGCACUCCGCCUGGGAGUACGGUCGCAAGACUGAAACUCAAAGGAAUUGACGGGGGCCCGCACAAGCGGUGGAGCAUGUGGUUUAAUUCGAAGCAACGCGAAGAACCUUACCAAGUCUUGACAUCCCUUGCACGCUCUAGAGAUAGAGUUUUCCCCUUCGGGGGACAAGGUGACAGGUGGUGCAUGGUUGUCGUCAGCUCGUGUCGUGAGAUGUUGGGUUAAGUCCCGCAACGAGCGCAACCCUUGAUCUUAGUUGCCAGCAUUUAGUUGGGCACUCUAAAGUGACUGCCGGUGACAAACCGGAGGAAGGUGGGGAUGACGUCCAAUCAUCAUGCCCCUUAUGACUUGGGCUACACACGUGCUACAAUGGUGAUACAAAGGGUUGCGAAGUCGCGAGACGGAGCUAAUCCCAUAAAGUUCACUCUUCAGUUCGGAUUGCAGCUGC
rnacentral:rRNA from 1 species